rnacentral:rRNA from 1 species
UACGUAGGGUGCAAGCGUUGUCCGGAAUUAUUGGGCGUAAAGAGCUCGUAGGCGGUCUGUCGCGUCUGCUGUGAAAACCCGGGGCUCAACCCCGGGCUUGCAGUGGAUACGGGCAGACUAGAGUUCGGUAGGGGAGACUGGAAUUCCUGGUGUAGCGGUGAAAUGCGCAGAUAUCAGGAGGAACACCGGUGGCGAAGGCGGGUCUCUGGGCCGAUACUGACGCUGAGAGACGAAAGCUAGGGGAGCAAAUGGG